rnacentral:rRNA from 1 species
GACGAACGCUGGCGGCGUGCCUAAUACAUGCAAGUAGGACGCAGUUGCGAACGGGUGAGUAACGCGUAGGUAACUACCUAUUAGAGGGGGAUAACUAUUGGAAACGAUAGCUAAUACCGCAUACUAGUAGAUGGACAUGCGUUGGAUUAGCUAGUAGGUUGGGUAAUGGCCUACCUAGGCAACGGUACAUAGCCGACCAGAUAGGGGGAUCUGCCAAACUGGGGCUGUGGCACGGCCCAGACUCCUACGGGAGGUCGCAGUAGGGAAUCUUCGGCAAUGGGGGGAACCCUGACCGAGCAACGCCGCGUGAGUGAAGAAGGUUUUCGGAUCGUAAAGCUCUGUUGUUAAGGAAGCGGUACUUAACCAGAAAGGGACGGCUAACUACGUGCCAGCAGCCGCGGUAAUUC